UACAGGGGGUGCAAACGUUGCUCGGAAUCAUUGGGCGUAAAGCGCACGUAGGCGGUCUGUUAUGUCGGAUGUGAAAGCCCUUGGCUUAAACUGAGGAAGUGCAUCCGAAACUGGCAGGCUAGAGUACUAAAGAGGGUCGCGGAAUUCCCGGUGUAGAGGUGAAAUUCGUAGAUAUCGGGAGGAACACCAGUGGCGAAGGCGGCGACCUGGGCCAAUAUUGACGCUGAGGUGCGAAAGCGUGGGGAGCAAACGGAUAGAAACCC
rnacentral:rRNA from 1 species